GGUCUAUAUUCUAGGGGUGGAGCACUAGAGCCGCGAGGGGGAGUCUAGAGAGCAGAAAACAAAGUAUCCCUGGAAAAAUUUGAAAAAAAUCAUGAUUUCUAGCUUCGAAAAAACGUUUUUUGAAGUUGUCAUAUCAAUGGAUUUGGCCUGUCCGAUCAGGGCCGUAGCUAGCAUGUAUAGUUGGGGUGGGGGGUGUAGGCCAAAUAUUUCCGAAUGACGAAAAAAAUUUCCGAAUAUUUCAUGGCAUACAAAGCAACGAAGGUGUUUGCUAUCUGGAAAAUGAAGACGCAAUUUACAAACAAAAAUACACAUAGCCCACAUAGUUUCCACAAAGACAUAUUACAGAAGUAUGCAGUGCCGUAGGAAGCUCUUUUUGAUUGGGGGCUGGGAACGAGGGGAAAUUUUUAAAUUUAAAUUCUCUGAAAUGCCAUUUCCUGGACUUUGGGGGAAGUUUUGACAGAAUUCUGAUGGUCAGAAAACAGAGUUUUAAUAUGAUAUUUGUGAUGUUACUCUGAGUAUGCAUCCACAGUGGGCAAGCUGAAAACUGUGCCUGGCCACGGUGGGAGUCGAACCUGCGACCUUUGGGAUACUAGUCCAAUGCUCUCCCACCUGAGCUACGUGGUCAAGUCGGUUCGACUUGUUGAUAUUUCGGAACUGAAUCUAGUUCCUUCGACAUCAGUGUAAUCUUUGAUAUGAUUUAUGUGUGUGUGUUGGUGUUGUGUACUCAAGUGAAUAUGGUGUUUGUGAUGUUACUCUGAGUAUGCAUCCACUGAUCCACACCGGGAAGCUGAAAAGUUAGCUUGCCCACGGUGGAAAUAAAACCCGCGACCUUUGGGAUGCUAGUCCAAUGCUCUGCCAACUGAGCUACGUGGUAAAGUCGGUUUGAGUUGUUAAUAGAGUUUUAGUAUGUCGAAAUUUACAAUUUGAUUACAAUUUAGCAGAAUUAAAUGGGCGAAGUCGUAUUUAGCUAUAUAUUGGAGAAGUUGCAGGAAAGAGUAUGGGUAAUAUAAUUCUUUGCGGUUUGUCAUGGAUAAUGUAGCCGCUUAAAAUUAAUCAAUUGUUUAAAUGAUAAAGGUGUGCAUGAUUUUGAAAAAAGACUGAUUAUCAGCAAAUUAUUGUAAGGGUGCUGCCUCCCCCCCCCCCGGUUGCUACGGCCCUGAGAAGUACUGAAACCGAAAAAAAUUUACCGAUUUACGAUUUGUUAAACGUUAUCCAUGUAAAUGCCGUGAUUUCGUAAAUCAUUUUAUACUGAUUAUAAUAUUAUAAUAUUUUUUCUGUUUAAUUAAACAAUUAAAAUUUUGUUAUACUAUUAUUGCCGUAAUUUUCCGAAUGGCCAACCCGAUUUUCCAAAUAUGUUAAUUCUACAAAAGUUGGGGGGUUAACCACACCCCCCCCCCCCAACACCCCCUCGCUACGGCCCUGUGUCCGAUUGUCUGUUGAGACUUGAGAGAGUUAAAGUUAAAUGAACCUGUAAAAGUGUAAACCCAAUAGGCCAAUACACAAUAUGCUUUUACUUUUAUAAACAACGAAUUAAAAAAUUAAAAAGAAUUAAAAACGAAUUACAAACCUAAAAGAAUUAAAAACGAAAAAUAAUGUUUGUAAAAAUUCCAAACGUUCCUUGCAAGCAAGCUAUUUGCAUGACAAGGCACUGCAAACUCUAUUCAGGGGAGAUAAUAGAGUUUCAAAACUUUACAAUUGCUCCAAUAAUAUUGCUUUCUAUUUGAGUGUACUCCUACGUUUAUUUUGUAUCAUCAACACUCUGCACGUUGGAGUGGAUUAUUUAAUUAUUUUUUAUUAUGCCG
rnacentral:lncRNA from 1 species